GGUAUGUCAGUCAACCUACAUUUUCAAAUUUUUGCCUUCCUUUAUGAAAGUCUGACUCAGUCUACCCAAAGUAAAAUUUGCAAUCCUGGCUGUGUAUUGCAAAUCUGAUUGUGUCCCAUUCAGCUUUCAAUGGAAAACAGAUAUGAGUGAAGAAAUUGUUGAACUCUGAUAAUGACUUGAUACCACUCUCUUCAUUUUAGUGUCUACAAGUAAUUUUGAGUUCAUUUAUUGUAAAAUUAACUUCAUAAGCUCCCCUGUGAGGUUAUAGGGUCUUAUCUAUUGGAAAUUCAAUUAUCCCACUGAAAGAAAACCCAGGAUCUAGCCCUUACUGUCCCUUUACCUGAUAAACAGUAACAUCUCCAUGUUGGGUCAGGAUGUGCUGCAAGUCCCAAGGUAUGCAAAAGUUUUCAGAUGACCUGUGUGGUUUCCCCCCACCAGAGAGCUGUGAGCCCCAUUUGCAUCAGUAACACACCAGCCCUUUGGCCCUGGCAGCUGCUAGUUCAACUCUGCUGUACCAGGCAGGAAAGCUGACAUUACACUUUUUCUCUACAGAAAAAAUCUUGCUUUGAUCUCUGACUCCACAUCUAUGGGAAAUUCACCCACAAGGGAAAUAGUUUCUGUGAUGUUUUCCUACCACAAAAAGCAUUCUGCUGUCAUUAGUGCUGCUUAGGGAAAAUCCGGCCUCCAAGCCAAACCUCAUCAAACAUAGGUCACGAGCUGUGUCAGGUGUCUUGGUGCUAGGAGAGAGGAUACAGUGGGUUGCAGUGAUGGAAAAAGUGCAAGCACCUGCUUCAAUAUUACUUCCCUGAAAUAGGCACACUGUUGUCUGCAUGCAAACAGCUGUCCUUUCUUGUUCUUUAAAGGAAAGCGUGAUGUAUUUAAUGAAACUUAUUACAAGAGAACCAUGAGCAUGAUUCUUUCAAGAAAAAAGCUGUAGAGGAAGUCAUAGGACUUUAGGUAUGUGUAGCUCUGCUCUGUGUAUAGAACAAGCAGAAAGCAUGGUCAUGACCAUAUUAUCUAUACUAUCUCGUUUCUGAUUUAAUGGCAAAGCAAUAUACAUAACAAUAUAAUUCACUGAGUUAAUCAGACUUUCUAAAAACCUAAGUGAUUCUUUUCUUUCACCUGCAAUGUUUAUGGUGUUGCCAGUGCUAUUGUUUCUCUCUUUUCUGGUUUUAAGAGUCAUCUGCCUCUUGAAGUAACAGCUCAUUUUUCUUAAGUGAAACAACAGGUUCUGAAGCACAGACAUUUGAAACUAUCUCUAGAACAUACUUUCAGACAUCUACCUGAAACUUUCAGUGCUUAAGACAAUAAUUUAUAAAGUACCCUCAGUCUGGCAUUUGAAAUAAUCACAUUAUUGUUAUUUUAUCUUGCAAAUUGUGUGCUCCAUAGCUGUCAUCCAGUGAAGAAUAUCCUGAAUUUUGUAUAAAACUAAUCUUUCUGUCAUUCCUUGUUCAGUGUCACACUGCAAACAAUGACAAAGGAUGGAAGCUCUCACCAGAAAUGAUAACCUCUAUAUCAAAAUGAUUGCAACUCCUUCUGUAUUUUCAGGUUUCACUGCAUUACUUUCAUCAUCUACGUGUUUAAAAUUGUUUCUAACCUCACAAAAUGAUGGGAAUUCGAAGAUGUGAAGAAGAUUAGAUUGUAGAUUGGCAUUCAUUUCUUUGAUCUACAUGUUCUGCUUAUGAUCAUGAAGAUUGCAACUGGCAAGAUGAAAAUAACAGGAUGGUAAAAAGGUUGCCUGGUCUAUAGAUUCAAAUUUUCUAUUUCCAUACCUUUCUUCCAUUUCUUUUUUUCUAUAUAGAGUUUGGUGAAAACAGCUGAGAUAGAUAGGAAAAGCAUUCUUUAUUCUAACUCCUAAAUUCAGCCCACCAAUCUGAUGAUUUGUGAAGAACAGACUACAGAAGCUGAAAAAUGACAGUUUCUGUCUUCUGCAUCAGAGAUUAAACUAAAUAAAGGAUCACUAAAAUUGAUGAAAAUUAAUAGUGAUUAGUAUAAAUAAGUUUGCUUCUGGAUUAUUGUCAUGUUUUCUUAGAUGUUCUGAACAAUUUGACUCUAAUACUGCAUUUGUCCUUUUUUAAAGACACAACAGAACCAGACCACUUAAUUCACAUAUUACUAUAAUCUUUUUCCCUAAGUGUGUAUAUAUAAGGAUGAAUAAUCCAAUGAAAGCUGUAAAAUAUAAUCUUACUUUCAUUUGCACAGGUAGUUCCAGUAUUUUGUGUCUGAAAAAAGUUCGUUCAUGAAAGGACUGCUUUUGGCACACAAAGCUAGUCUUUCUCAUAGUUGAUCACAAUAUUUGAGCACCAAUGUGAAAUAGCUUUAUUUGCAUGUAUUGGGACACUUGAAGCAAAUAUAGCUUCAUCUACAUCUUUCAGAUCUUUCAGAUGGGAUGUACUGCUCCCAUCUGAACUCUCAUGCUCCCACAGCUGGAUUUCUGAGAGGAUUCUAUUUUUUGUUUUGGCCUGCUAAGUUCCUACUCAGAAUAAUGCAGGACUGAUGAAAUGGCACCAAGAUCUUCAAGCAUAGAAGGACUUUUUUUCCCAGCUAAUAAAUAACAGAUAAAUGCACAUCUGAAAACUGUGCAUACUUGGGAACAAAAAGGACAGAAAGAUCAGAGCUUAUUUUUUCUAUUUUCCCUGAAAGUAGGGUCAGAUAUAUGAUCAGGUUAAGUUAGAUUACCACAUUAUGCUGUAUGAGCCGAGUUCUGUGAUAACUUUACACGUGCAUGUUUUUAGCCCAUAGCAAUGUAACAUAAUCAGAUUUAUCACAACUCAGUAAGUUGAAUUAUGUGAGGACAUUUGCAAGAAUACAGUACAAAAUACAAAAAUAGUAGUUACCACAUCUCAGUUGAUAUAGAGCACUUUGUUAAGUUGCUGUAACUUUGUUGUGUAUCUGAGAAUUAAACA